GAUGAAGAACGCAGCGAAAUGCGAUAAGUAGUGUGAAUUGCAGAAUUCAGUGAAUCAUCGAAUCUUUGAACGCACAUUGCGCCCUUUGGUAUUCCUUAGGGCAUGCCUGUUCGAGCGUCAUUUAAACCUUCAAGCUAAGCUUGGUGUUGGGUGACUGUCCGCUUCACGGCGGACUCGCCUCAAAAUUAUUGGCGGCCGGUACAUUGGCUUCGAGCGCAGCAGAAACGCGAACUCGGGCCCGUCGUAUUGGCUCCCAGAGGCUAUCUUCACAAUUUUGACCUCGGAUCAGGUAGGGAUACCCGCUGAACUUAAGCAUAUCAAUAAGCGGAGGA
rnacentral:misc_RNA from 1 species